rnacentral:rRNA from 1 species
CAGUAGCCGCGGGAAAACGAGGGGGGCUAGCGUUGCUCGGAAUUACUGGGCGUAAAGGGAGCGUAGGCGGAUCGUUUAGUCAGGGGUGAAAUCCCGGGGCUCAACCUCGGAACUGCCUUUGAUACUGGCGAUCUUGAGUAUGGGAGAGGUGUGUGGAACUCCGAGUGUAGAGGUGAAAUUCGUAGAUAUUCGGAAGAACACCAGUGGCGAAGGCGACACACUGGCCCAUUACUGACGCUGAGGCUCGAAAGCGUGGGGAGCAAACAGGAUUAGAUACCCCUGUAGUCCCUGUCUCUUAUAC